rnacentral:rRNA from 1 species
GGAUAACCCGGAGAAAUCCGGACUAAUACCGCAUGGUACUCUUUGCACAGAAGUGUGAAGAUUUAAAGAUGCGAAUCGGUUGCGGACGGUCAUGCGUUCCAUUAGCUAGUUGGCGGGGUAACGGCCCACCAAGGCGACGAUGGAUAGGGGUUCUGAGAGGAAGGUCCCCCACACUGGUACUGAGACACGGACCAGACUCCUACGGGAGGCAGCAGUGAGGAAUAUUGGUCAAUGGGCGAGGGCCUGAACCAGCCAAGUCGCGUGAGGGAAGACGGCCCUAUGGGUUGUAAACCUCUUUUAGAUGGGAGUAAAGUGUUCUACGAGUAGGAUAUUGCAAGUACCAUCAGAAUAAGCAUCGGCUAAUUCCGUGCCAGCAGCCGCGGUAAUACGGAAGAUGCGAGCGUUAUCCGGAUUUAUUGGGUUUAAAGGGUGCGUAGGCGGGUGAUUAAGUCAGCGGUGAAAUGCGUCAGCUUAACUGGCGAACUGCCAUUGAAACUGGUUACCUUGAGUGUAGCGGAAGUAUGCGGAAUGCGUGGUGUAGCGGUGAAAUGCAUAGAUAUCACGCAGAACUCCGAUUGCGAAGGCAGCAUACCAUACUAUAACUGACGCUGAAGCACGAAAGCGUGGGUAUCGAACAGGAUUAGAUACCCUGGUAGUCCACGCAGUAAACGAUGAAUACUCACCGUUUGCGAUAUAAUGUAAGCGGUAAAG